GGCCUAAUACUGCAAGUCGAACGGUAACAUUGGUGCUUGCACCAGAUGACGAGUGGCGCACGGGUGCGUAACGCGUAUGCAACCUACCUUUUACUAGAGUAUAGCCCAGAGAAAUUUGGAUUAAUCCUCUAUAACAUCUUUUAAUUUCAUGAUUAUAAGAUUAAAGUUUUAACGGUAAAAGAUGGGCAUGCGUCCUAUUAGUUUGUAGGUGAGGUAACGGCUCACCUAGACUACGAUAGGUAGGGGCCCUGAGAGGGGGAUCCCCCACACUGGUACUGAGACACGGACCAGACUCCUACGGGAGGCAGCAGUAAGGAAUAUUGGACAAUGGACGAAAGUCUGAUCCAGCCAUGCCGCGUGCAGGAUGACAGCCCUACGGGUUGUAAACUGCUUUUAUACAGGAAGAAACACUCCGACGUGUCGGAGCUUGACGGUACUGUAAGAAUAAGGAUCGGCUAACUCCGUGCCAGCAGCCGCGGUAAUACGGAGGAUCCAAGCGUUAUCCGGAAUCAUUGGGUUUAAAGGGUCCGCAGGCUGUUUUUUAAGUCAGAGGUGAAAUCCUACAGCUCAACUGUAGAACUGCCUUUGAUACUGGAAAACUUGAGUUAUUGUGAAGUGGUUAGAAUGUGUGGUGUAGCGGUGAAAUGCAUAGAUAUCACACAGAAUACCGAUUGCGAAGGCAGAUCACUAACAAUAUACUGACGCUCAUGGACGAAAGCGUGGGGAGCGAACAGGAUUAGAUACCCUGGUAGUCCACGCCGUAAACGAUGGAUACUAGCUGUUCGUCUAACAUUGGUUAGAUGAGUGGCUAAGCGAAAGUGAUAAGUAUCCCACCUGGGGAGUACGGUCGCAAGACUGAA
rnacentral:rRNA from 1 species